UUUUUUGAGAGAAGUUUGCAGUUUGACUGUAGUUGGCAAGUAAUAUUGAGUUGUCUCUUGCAUGGGUUACCAAUGUUCAGCUCAGUAACUGCAAUUGUAGAUGCGGCUUUGGUGCUCCUUUGAACAUAAUUUCACAUGAUUUAAUAAACGCACAUGUCAUCAUACCUCAAGAUAUGUGGGAUCUUAGGUUAUUUAAACGAAUGCCAUCAGUGUAAGUGCAUUUUACUUUGAUUACAUGUCAAUGGAAACAAAUUCCUUUUGAUUCUCCACGCUUCCUUUUGUGCUUUCAGGUUUCUAAUGCCCAUUGCAUCAUAACUUUGAGAGUCUUUUGGUUUCCUAGUGGUUUUUGGCUCUCUCUCUAUCUCCAACCACUUAUGUAUAGUCUUUUGCUUAUUCUUCGUCCUUCUCAUCUUUGUCCACAUGUCCUGCAAGAAAGGGAUUUUUUUAUAAAAAAUGAAAAGUUUGUAAUUAUUUUUUUUAGGGUGGGGAGAGUUCUUUUGUGUGUGUACUUAAAACUGUGUUUCCAACUACACUAUAAGAAUUAGCUUAUUAUAAAGGUAUUCUCUUGGUUUCUUUUUUAAAUUCCUCAUACUAUUCUGUCGCUUAAAAUAAACAUUGAUAAUAUUCUAUCAAUUUUGUAAUACAUUGACAUUCAAGUUGGAUUUUUAUAAUGUUAUCAUGGCCUAAUGGGAUUCCUCAAAUUGAUUACUAGUAACUAAUUAUGAUGUCAUAUUUAUGGGAUUCAAAUUUUCUUUAUGCUUGAGCCCCUGAAAUUUUCUGUAAAAGCAUGAAUACGUGAAUUGUUGGAUUUAUCUUUUUAAAUGCAUCGGGCACUUUUGGAGUCCAUGGGGGCUAGUGGAUCUACUGGGCCUGAAGCUGUUUGCUGCUACAAAAAGGAAUGUGGUUUUAUGGACAGCAAGAGCUGGUUCCAGGAAUCCAUUUAAUAUACCAUGUUUCAGUUGCCCUUUCAAUAUCCUGCCGGUGAGUUUUGGAUCAAUAUCAAACUGGGAAGACAAACAUUUGCUAAAAUGCAACUAUCCAGGUGCUUGCAUUGGACCAAAGCCUACAACACACAGAUUCAUUGUUGUUAUGGUAUCACAAAUCGCCCUCACU